AACGGCUGCCAGGGCGCAGUGCAUUGUGGGGCGAGGAGCAGAGCUUGGAGGUGCUGGUGGAGAGGCGCCUGCAUGGGGUGAGGCCCGGGUCCUGCCACCCAGAGGAAACCUGAGCCGCAGCAGCUCUGGCUCCCUCUCUGCUGCCCCUCCCCACUGCUUUCCAAGGGCAGGUGCUGAGGCCAGUGGCCUGGUGGGUGACCGCCCUCCAGGUCCUAGGAGGAAAUUGUCCCCAGGGUGUUUGCUGGCUUGCAGUUAACAGGAGGCCUCUUCAGAGGAGAAACUUCUCCAUUUCACAUCAGCGUCUCUGGGAAAAUUCCACUCCAAGAUUCUGUGUGGACUCUCAUCCAAACACAUGGCAGGUGAUCGUCUAAACCACCCAGGGAAGGUGCCAGAGGUGACUGGUCCGCAAGCCGGCCUGCCUCUGUUAAUUAAAGUCUACAAACCUUCAAGCCCAUCGCCCUUCCUUGGCUGUCUGCGUGACCACAACCCCUACGCUCUUCCAAGCAACAUUUGCUCCAACUUAAUAUUCUGGUGCUUUCGGGAACAUUUAAAAAUAAACCAUUUUGGCACAUUGUC
rnacentral:lncRNA from 1 species